UACGGAGGGUGCAAGCGUUUGUUCGGAUUAUUGGGCGUAAAGCGCGUGUAGGCGGUCUCUUAAGUCUGAUGUGAAAGCCCUGGGCUCAACCCAGGAAGUGCAUUGGAUACUGGGAGACUUGAAUACGGGAGAGGGUAGUGGAAUUCCUAGUGUAGGAGUGAAAUCCGUAGAUAUUAGGAGGAACACCGGUGGCGAAGGCGGCUACCUGGACCGAUGAUUGACGCUGGAGACGCGAAAGCGUGGGGAGCAAACAGG
rnacentral:rRNA from 1 species